UGGGCAACCUGCCCCUCUCUCUGGGAUAACCCCGGGGAAACCGGAGCUAAUACCGGAUACUCCGGCUGGAUCGCAUGGUCCGGCCGGGAAAGGUCCGCCGGAGAGGGAUGGGCCCGCGGCCUAUCAGCUUGUUGGUGGGGUCAUGGCUCACCAAGGCGACGACGGGUAGCUGGUCUGAGAGGAUGGCCAGCCACAUUGGGACUGAGACACGGCCCAGACUCCUACGGGAGGCA
rnacentral:rRNA from 1 species